UUUUUGCUAGGGUAAAUGUUUUCCAUAAGUUUUUUUUUUUCUUUUAUAUAUCGGAUAAAGGGAUUACAUUUGUUCUCCGAGUUUUUAUAGAAGCCCCAUCGCUAUCACCAUCACUAUUUUGAUUUUUCCAAGAUGGCCGUUUUUGUUUCGCGAACGUUCUGCGAGGAGAGUUCGGCGACUUGCGUGACUUACGAACAGAACUGCCUAAUUGUACCUACAAUUGAGUAAAUUGUUUUAGAGGAGGGGAUGCCCAGCUUCAGCAGCUUCAAUGUGCGAGGAACACUCCAGCCCCCUCAACAAAGCUGGAGGUGCGGAUAGAGUUGAGAUUUCAACUGACUAAUGAAUGCUGCAUCGGAUGUUAUGCAGUACAAGGUGAUCAUGCAGACGGCGACGCAAUGAAGCGUGGAAAUGGGCACCUAGGAGCUGCACCCUAAACCAGUUUUUCUCUGUUGCCGGUGCACAAGCAGGUAAGGGCGGAUAGCAUUCCUAGUGCCAAUUCCUUUGCGGUCAACGAAAAACGCUUUUUGAACAACGCUCUUUCUGUUUUAAGUAUUGUGCAGGCCUUAAGUUUACUAUAAGAACAACAACAACAAAAAAAUCACUUUCCACUGCAGGUAAUGUGCAUCCAACGUUCCACUGGAUCUGUCCGAAGGGCAGGCUGAUACUGCGGCAGACGCCACUGAGCGGACACACUGCAAAAAGGCGUCGGGCGUUUUCCGAAGUUUGUCAACUGACCUAGAUCUGAGAACGUUGGUACAUGUAUUGCUACCGUUGCCAAGCAGGACUGGAGAUUGUUAGAGUGUGAACAAUGUUCACACUUUGGUCAAUGCAAGCACAUCUUUUUUUUUUAGUAAUAUUGACUAACAAGAUUGCAACAAUCAAACAAGUUAACACCGAAAUGUUAAAAGCAAUAAAGAAAUUAAAGCCCGGCUGUUCUGCGAGUGCAGAUUUUAUAUCUUGCUUUAUUUUAAGGGCUGCACUGAUUUGUUUGCCCCUUCAUUAAAGGGGCCCUGCAACCAUAUUUAAGCGUCUACCUUUUUUGCGGUUUCCACGUCUCUUGGCGUUCAGGCAAGC
rnacentral:lncRNA from 1 species